GUAUACAAACAGCGCCGUCAUGUCCGAGUCCGCGAGUAAGAAAAGAACCCUUCUCUGAUUCGGCAGGGUUCGCUUACUGCCGGAUUGUGCUGCGAGUCCUGAUGGCGAGCCGGCGAAGCCCGAGGUGACGAAGGAGGCCAAGAUGGACCUGCUCGAAGACGAUGACGAGUUCGAGUUCGAGAUCGACAGUGGGACGACAAGGAAGAAGGCAAUGAAGUAGUUAAGCAAUGGGAGGAUGACUGGGAUGACUUCUCGCUGCAGUUGAGGAAGGAGCUCGAGAGCAAUGCCUCCAGGAACUAGCUAGUGAAUGCAGCCUAGUAUCCGUUAUUGUCAGAUAGGAAUUGGUGUACGAUGACGGUUGUUGGGAAGUUGCACCUGUUGUUCCUUUCUCGUCCUUCUUGGCAUGGUCACUCAGAUGUCGUCGUCGCAUUUGCUGUCAAUGGAUCUUUUCCUGUUUUUAUCCACUAGUAACUAAUUUUAGUACAUAAGUUUCCAACUCUUACACACAGAAGGAUGUAUUAAACUAAGGGUUCUUUUAGCAUGGUUUU